rnacentral:lncRNA from 13 species
AUGCCACAGAGAGGUAUAGGGAGAAUGAAGACAGACAUUCUGGUCCUGCCCUGUGGACAAACUGCUUCAAGAGAACUUCAGUUAUGUUUCCUUACACCCAGUGGACAGGAGAGAGGCUGCAGGAGAAUGAAGAAAUUGGUGGGAGAAGAAGAAUCCUCAAAAGAUAUAGCAGCAAAAAAUCAUGACGUUUCAACUCCAGAAAGGCAUUCUGCUCAGAGAGAAGGAAAGAAAGGAAAAAAAGGAGUGAAGGAGAAGAAGAAGAGGAAGAAGAAGAGGAAGAGAGAAUGGGAAUGUUGCUUUAUUCUAAAAAUGGGUAUUGAAAACCUCUUUUAUGCUGAUAAUCGUGCUUAAUAAUGGCUGAUCAAUAUAUCAUUUAAACAGUAGGUGUGAUGUGGUACUGACAAGAAUGUAUGUUUUAUGUAUUUAAAGUGGAGAGGUCUAUAAAUGUCCAUUAAGUUUACUUGUUCCGGAUCCUGGAUAUCCUUAUUAAUUUUCUGCCUCAUUGAUCCAUCUAACAUUGAUGUUGAAGUCUCCCACUAUUAUUGUGUGGGAGUCUAGGGAGUCUAAGUCUCUUCAUAGGUCUUAUGUAUCUGGGUGUUAAAAUCGUUAGCUCUUCUUGUUGCAUUGAUCCUUUUACCACUAUAUCUUUGUUGCUUUAAAAUCUAUUUUAUCAGAGGCAAGAAUUGCAACUCCUGCUUUUUAUUUAUUUAUUUAUUUUUGCUCUCCAUUUGGUUGGUAAAUCUUUCUCCAUCCCUUUAUUUUGAGUCUUUGUGUAUCCUUGCAUGUGAAAUGGGUCUGGCUGUAUCUUUUGAUUGGGGGAUUUAGUCGAUUUAAAUUUAGGAUUACUGCCAUUUGAUGUUAGCUGGCUGUUUUGUCCAUUUGUUGAUGUAAAUUCUUCUUUAUGUUGAUGCCCUUUACUUUUUGGUAUAUUUUUAGAAAGGCUAAUACUGGUUGUUCCUUUCUAUGUGUAAUGCUUCUUUCAGAAGGUCUUGUAAAGCAGGCAUGGUGGUAAUAAAAUCUCUGAGUACUUGCUUGUUCA